rnacentral:rRNA from 1 species
CCAGGCUGUCUCCACCCGAGACUCAGUGAAAUUGAACUCGCUGUGAAGAUGCAGUGUACCCGCGGCAAGACGGAAAGACCCCGUGAACCUUUACUAUAGCUUGACACUGAACAUUGAGCCUUGAUGUGUAGGAUAGGUGGGAGGCUUUGAAGUGUGGACGCCAGUCUGCAUGGAGCCGACCUUGAAAUACCACCCUUUAAUGUUUGAUGUUCUAACGUUGGCCCCUGAUCGGGGUUGCGGACAGUGUCUGGUGGGUAGUUUGACUGGGGCGGUCUCCUCCUAAAGAGUAACGGAGGAGCACGAAGGUUGGCUAAUCCUGGUCGGACAUCAGGAGGUUAGUGCAAUGGCAUAAGCCAGCUUGACUGCGAGCGUGACGGCGCGAGCAGGUGCGAAAGCAGGUCAUAGUGAUCCGGUGGUUCUGAAUGGAAGGGCCAUCGCUCAACGGAUAAAAGGUACUCCGGGGAUAACAGGCUGAUACCGCCCAAGAGUUCAUAUCGACGGCGGUGUUUGGCACCUCGAUGUCGGCUCAUCACAUCCUGGGGCUGAAGUAGGUCCCAAGGGUAUGGCUGUUCGCCAUUUAAAGUGGUACGCGAGCUGGGUUUAGAACGUCGUGAGACAGUUCGGUCCCUAUCUGCCGUGGGCGCUGGAGAACUGAGGGGGGCUGCUCCUAGUACGAGAGGACCGGAGUGGACGCAUCACUGGUGUUCGGGUUGUCAUGCCAAUGGCACUGCCCGGUAGCUAAAUGCGGAAGAGAUAAGUGCUGAAAGCAUCUAAGCACGAAACUUGCCCCG